rnacentral:tRNA from 1 species
GGAGCGGUAGUUCAGUCGGUUAGAAUACCUGCCUGUCACGCAGGGGGUCGCGGGUUCGAG